GAGCACGUAGGUGGGUUUGUAAGUCAGAUGUGAAAGCCUUCUGUUCAACGGAAGAAUUGCAUCUGAAACUACAAACCUUGAGUAUAGGAGGGGAGAGUGGAACUUCUGGUGGAGCGGUGAAAUGUGUAGAUAUCAGAAGGAACGCCGGCGGCGAAAGCGACUCUCUGGCCUAUUACUGACACUGAGUGUGCGAAAGCUAGGGGAGCAAACGGGAUUAGAUACCCCGGUAGUCCUAGCCGUAAACGAUGGGCACUAAGUAGAGGGG
rnacentral:rRNA from 1 species